GCCGGGCUUGUGGUGUGGCCUGUAGUCCCAGCUACCCGGGAGGCUGAGGCUGGAGGACGGCUUGAGCCCAGGAGUUCUGGGCUGUCGUGUGCUAUGCCGAUUGGGUGUCUGCACGAAGUUGGGCAUCAAUGUGGUGACCUCCCGGGAGCGGGGACCACCAGGUUGCUUAAGGAGGGGUGAACGGCCCAGCUCGGAAACGGAGCAGGUCAGAGCUCCCUGCUAAUGAGCAUUGGGAUUGUGCCUGCGAGGAGCCACUGCGCUCCAGUCUGGGCAACACAGCGAGCCCCCGUUUUUA
rnacentral:SRP_RNA from 1 species